rnacentral:rRNA from 1 species
AUUGAACGCUGGCGGCAUGCUUUACACAUGCAAGUCGAACGGCAGCACGGGGGCAACCCUGGUGGCGAGUGGCGAACGGGUGAGUAAUAUAUCGGAACGUACCCGGAAAUGGGGGAUAACGUAGCGAAAGUUACGCUAAUACCGCAUAUGCCCUAAGGGGGAAAGCGGGGGAUUCGCAAGAACCUCGCGUUUUCGGAGCGGCCGAUAUCGGAUUAGCUAGUAGGUGAGGUAAAGGCUCACCUAGGCGACGAUCCGUAGCUGGUCUGAGAGGACGACCAGCCACACUGGAACUGAGACACGGUCCAGACUCCUACGGGAGGCAGCAGUGGGGAAUUUUGGACAAUGGGCGCAAGCCUGAUCCAGCCAUGCCGCGUGAGUGAAGAAGGCCUUC